AUUCUGCCCAUGCGGGGAAGUAUGAGAAGCCUCGACCAAGGUUCGACUCGAGCGCCAGCGAGAGAGCGUUGCCGCAGGCAACGACCCGAAGGGCGAAGCGCGCAGCGUUGAGUAAUCCUUCCCCCACCACCA
rnacentral:sRNA from 1 species